CAGUCGCCGCGGUAAAACGUAGGUGGCAAGCGUUGUCCGGAAUUAUUGGGCGUAAAGGGCUCGCAGGCGGUUUCUUAAGUCUGAUGUGAAAGCCCCCGGCUCAACCGGGGAGGGUCAUUGGAAACUGGGAAACUUGAGUGCAGAAGAGGAGAGUGGAAUUCCACGUGUAGCGGUGAAAUGCGUAGAGAUGUGGAGGAACACCAGUGGCGAAGGCGACUCUCUGGUCUGUGACUGACGCUGAGGAGCGAAAGCGUGGGGAGCGAACAGGAUUAGAUACCCCCGUAGUCCCUGUCUCUUAUAC
rnacentral:rRNA from 1 species